rnacentral:snRNA from 1 species
GUACCAACGGGCGCAGGGACCAGGGUGAUCACGAAUGCCCUGGCCCCAGGUGGAGUCUCGCCUUUGAACGUUGGCGUGUUGAAGUCUUCAACGAUCCCUAAUCAGGUUCUCUCGGACGCGUAGUUUUUGCUAGUGGGGAGGUCUUUGGAUCAUCCUUU